rnacentral:rRNA from 1 species
GAUGAACGCUGGCGGCGUGCCUAAUACAUGCAAGUCGAGCGAGCAGACGAGGAGCUUGCUCCUCUGACGUUAGCGGCGGACGGGUGAGUAACACGUGGAUAACCUACCUAUAAGACUGGGAUAACUUCGGGAAACCGGAGCUAAUACCGGAUAAUAUAUUGAACCGCAUGGUUCAAUAGUGAAAGACGGUUUUGCUGUCACUUAUAGAUGGAUCCGCGCCGCAUUAGCUAGUUGGUAAGGUAACGGCUUACCAAGGCAACGAUGCGUAGCCGACCUGAGAGGGUGAUCGGCCACACUGGAACUGAGACACGGUCCAGACUCCUACGGGAGACAGCAGUAGGGAAUCUUCCGCAAUGGGCGAAAGCCUGACGGAGCAACGCCGCGUGAGUGAUGAAGGUCUUCGGAUCGUAAAACUCUGUUAUUAGGGAAGAACAAAUGUGUAAGUAACUAUGCACGUCUUGACGGUACCUAAUCAGAAAGCCACGGCUAACUACGUG